AAGAGCUUUGCUAAUAUCUAUCUGUAGCAGAUAAGAACUUGAAAGUUAUAUUUACUUUGGUUUUAUUCUGAAGCUGCAUAGAAUUAAAAUUACAUCUAAAUGCUUAAGUGGAUCCCAACUAUGCCUUUAAUCUCACUCAUUUUCCUCUUGUGGAACAGAAUUUACAGGCUUUUAGUAUCCCACUACAGGCCUUAAGUUUGUUAUGGCAACAUGCACUGUCUAUUCUGGAACACACACAAUAAAGUGUUCUGUGAUGUACAUUGUGGUCACGGUACAGCAUGGCACGUGGCACACAGUGGAGCCUUUAGAAGAAGGGAUCUGCAAGACAGCUGUCUGCCAUUGCAGAAAACUAGAACCAGUUGAUAUGAGGAAUGAUAACAGACAUCAGCCCAGAUUCUGAACUUGAAGGGCAGAUGCUGCCAGGCCCUUCCAACUCUGACUACUUUCUGAAAAGCCAUUGCUGGACCAGGGGAACAUCCCAUCUUGCUACCCUAAACAAGAACUUCAGUCACGCUGUUAUGCAGGUCAAGAAGAGACAAGGCCAUGUAAACCUUCCUGGGCCUGGAAGAAACCACUGGGGCCUGACAAGCCUUAAAAACAGAGCUGCACUUACAUGUUUGGAUCAGGCACAUCGACCCUUAACAGCAUCAGCUGGUCCCCCCUGCACCACAAAAGGUGCAUAGCAAGAUGAUUGAAAAACAGUGAUUUCUUGUGAAGAAUCCAGCUUUUAUUCUGGAUAUCAGAUUGAUGGAACAGCGCUGGCAGCCCACACCAAUAAUUUAUUACUGGAUAAAUAUGGCAUGAAAACAAGUAGAAGAAACAGGGACACCACA
rnacentral:lncRNA from 1 species